rnacentral:rRNA from 1 species
UGCAAGUCGAGCGGACAGAUGAGGAGCUUGCUCCUCUGAAGUCAGCGGCGGACGGGUGAGUAACACGUGGGCAACCUGCCCUUAAGACUGGGAUAACUCCGGGAAACCGGGGCUAAUACCGGAUAAUGUAUCGGACCUCAUGGUCUGAUACUGAAAGGCGGCUUCGGCUGUCACUUAAGGAUGGGCCCGCGGCGCAUUAGCUAGUUGGUGAGGUAACGGCUCACCAAGGCAACGAUGCGUAGCCGACCUGAGAGGGUGAUCGGCCACACUGGGACUGAAACACGGCCCAGACUCCUACGGGAGGCAGCAGUAGGGAAUCUUCCGCAAUGGACGAAAGUCUGACGGAGCAACGCCGCGUGAGUGAAGAAGGUUUUCGGAUCGUAAAGCUCUGUUGUCAGGGAAGAACAAGUACCAUAGUAACUGAUGGUACCUUGACGGUACCUGACCAGAAAGCCACGGCUAACUACGUGCCA